rnacentral:rRNA from 1 species
AUAACGACUCUCGGCAACGGAUAUCUCGGCUCUCGCAUCGAUGAAGAACGGAGCGAAAUGCGAUACUUGGUGUGAAUUGCAGAAUCCCGUGAACCAUCGAGUCUUUGAACGCAAGUUGCGCCCGAAGCCAUCAGGUUGAGGGCACGUCUGCCUGGGCGUCACGC